rnacentral:lncRNA from 1 species
AAAAUAAUUCAUAAAAAUUAAAAAAAAAUUUAUCCUUGAGUGCCGACGAUAGUACGGAGAGGUACGUCGGGGAGGAGGAAGGGACCGGAGUUCUCAUGCCGAGAGGAGGGAGGGCCAUCGAAGAGGAGGAGGGGGACAGUUGCAGAGGACUGAGGCGGGGGCUUUUGCGUCGGAGACCGAGAGGACCGUUGGGGGUGUUUGCACCGGGGAUCGAGAUGGGCGGCGGGGUUCGUGUGGAGAGGAGGGG